GGUUUUAUAGUUUAAUUAAAAUAUUAAAUUGCAAAUUUAAAGAUAAAAUUUUAAAUUUUUAAAACUU
rnacentral:tRNA from 1 species